GACGUAGGGUGCAAGCGUUGUCCGGAUUUACUGGGCGUAAAGAGCGCGUAGGCGGUCUGUUAAGUGAGAAGUGAAAGCUCCGGGCUCAACUCGGAAAUUGCUUUUCAUACUGGCAGACUGGAGUGAUGCAGAGGUUUGUGGAAUUCCUGGUGUAGCGGUGAAAUGCGUUGAUAUCAGGAGGAACACCCAUGGCGAAGGCAGCAAACUGGGCAUUAACUGACGCUGAGGCGCGAAAGCGUGGGUAGCAAACAGGAUUAGAUACCCUGGUAGUCCACGCCCUAAACGAUGGAUACUAGGCGUUGGAGGUAUCGACCCCUCCAGUGCCGCAGCUAACGCACUAAGUAUCCCGCCUGGGGACUACGGCCGCAAGGUUGAAACUCAAAUGAAUUGACGGGGACCCGCACAAGCGGUGGAGCAUGUGGAUUAAUUCGAUACUAACCGAAGAACCUUACCCAGACUUGACAUCGAUCGCAAGCCUAUGAAAGUAGGCCCUCUCCCACAAGGAGACGUGAAGACACUUGUUGCAUGGCUGUCGUCAGCUCGUGCCGUGAGGUGUACGGUUAAGUCCGCCAACGAGCGCAACCCUCGUCGUGUGUUACCAGCGAGUAAUGUCGGGGACUCACACGAGACCGCCGGUGUAAGCCGGAGGAAGGUGGGGAUGACGUCAAGUCAGCAUGGCAGUUACGUCUGGGGCUUCACACAUGCUACAAUGGGCGAAACAAAGGGCAGCAAAACCGCGAGGUGGAGCCAAUCCCAAAAAUACGCCCCCAGUUCAGAUUGCAGUCUGCAACUCGACUGCAUGAAGGCGGAAUCGCUAGUAAACGCAGGUCAGCUAUACUGCGUUGAAUACGUUCCCGGGUCU
rnacentral:rRNA from 1 species